UUUUUUCUAUUGCUUACAAAGACCUGGGACUGUGGUUUCUCCUGGCUGUACCACUCACUUCCAAGCACUCUGAGUGCUUGGGAGCUAUUUCCUGGGUAUGGGGCCCAUUGUUCUAACCUAAUUUUUACUGUUGGAUCAAAGAAUAUCUGUGGCCAAAUAAUGGUCCUAUUGCUAGUCACUCUUUUGUCCACAAAUGAACUACAGUGAAACCGUAUCUUGACUGCUUUCCUUUUUAGUACCCAUUAGAUAAGCAAGCGGGGCUGUUGAGAGGAAGAUGUUAACUGACCCCCAAGGCAGGACCAGGUGUUGACAUCCUGCUCUUUCAAAGAUGAUGAACCAGAGAAUGCUGUGUCACUGCUUGUUCCCUUCCCUUGCUGGUACCGGCAAGUGGGAAAGCUGGGAUUCAAAUCCAAGUCUGUGUUUCCAAAAGCCCAUGUUGAAGAUGCUCUUGUUGCUGGAUUUACUGAAUCUCUGUCACAUGAUCCAAUGGAGAAAGUGAAAAGUGUCACUGAGCUGGGCCACAGAGCUGGUUAUCAAGGGUAGUCUGCGAGGUCAGAGCACUGACUACGUCAAUGACACCUUUUGUCCUUGUCCCCAAGAGGGUCAGUUUGUGUAGCCACCGUCAGAGCUAUAGGAGGACGUGGGACCAAGUAAGAUGCCGGCUCCUUGCAGACCCAAGGGUGUCCAUCGUGUUCAUGUGGGGGCACCACUACACCCCCGUAAGAGCUCAUAGCGCUUUCUUCAUUAUUGGUCCAUCAGAGUGGAACAGGAAAGGAACUUCCAGGUGCUGAGCCUGUUGAUUUACCAGGGCAUCGUUGAUUACAAAUCAAGCUUUUUAUCUACCCUUCACUUCUUUGGGAACUUCACAAUGCUGGACACUGAGCUUCCACGUACCUGGUCUAAAAUGAGGAAGAGCAGAAGGCACCUGCUAUCAAUUUGACUUGCAUGUAACCAGAAUUCUCGGAACUUGUUGGUUGCUCCUGCUGGCUCCUGUCCAUGUGUGCCAAGAGGCCGUGAUGGCAAGCGGAUUAGGUAAGCAGAAAGCACCAUGUGGUAUCCCAUGGGGUGACUGGGCAUUUUCUGAGAGGUAGCAGAAUGGCCCUGUGGACAGCAUAGGGCUGGGAAGUCCAGACACUCCUCAAUUGUAUGUAUGGCUCUACCAUGGUUAAUUCCAUUGCCUGCAGAGUUUGCUGAUGUCUGUUUUCCCCGAUCUUGCUUUUUAAAAAACUUUUAUUAUUUUUUGAGAUGGAGUGAGUUUUGCUCU